rnacentral:rRNA from 1 species
CUACGGAGGGUGCAAGCGUUGUUCGGAAUUACUGGGCGUAAAGCGCGUGCAGGCGGUAAGGUAAGUCAGAUGUGAAAGCCCCGGGCUCAACCCGGGAAGUGCAUUUGAUACUGCCUUUCUUGAGUAUGGGAGAGGAGAGUGGAAUUCCCAGUGUAGAGGUGAAAUUCGUAGAUAUUGGGAGGAACACCCGUGGCGAAGGCGACUCUCUGGACCAAUACUGACGCUGAGACGCGAAAGCGUGGGGAGCGAACAGGAUUAGAAACCCCAGUAGUCC